rnacentral:rRNA from 1 species
AGAGUUUGAUCCUGGCUCAAAAUCAACGCUGGCGGCGUGCCUCAGACAUGCAAGUCGAACGAUUAAAGCCCCUUCGGGGGUGUAUAGAGUGGCGCACGGGUGAGUAACACGUAGGUAAUCUACCUUUGAGUGGGGAAUAACAAUCGGAAACGAUUGCUAAUACCGCAUAAUGCAGCGGCAUCGCAAGAUGACAGUUGUUAAAGGAGCAAUCCGCUUAAAGAGGAGCCUGCGGCAGAUUAGCUAGUUGGUAAGGUAAUGGCUUACCAAGGCUACGAUCUGUAACCGACCUGAGAGGGUGGUCGGUCACACUGACACUGAAUAACGGGUCACACUCCUACGGGAGGCAGCAGUCGGGAAUUUUGGGCAAUGGGCGAAAGCCUGACCCAGCAACGCCGCGUGAAGGACGAAGUCUUUCGGGAUGUAAACUUCGUAAGAAUAGGAAGAAUAAAUGACGGUACUAUUUUGUAAGGUCCGGCUAACUACGUGCCAGCAGCCGCGGUAAUACGUAGGGACCAAGCGUUGUUCGGAUUUACUGGGCGUAAAGGGCGCGUAGCGGCAAUUCAAGUCAGUUGUGAAAUCUCCGAGCUUAACUCGGACGGUCAACUGAUAC